UCUCUGGCCACGGCAGUCGCAGACGCGGACGCAUAAAAACAUGUUAGACACAUUUGUUAUUAUUUAACUGCACUUAAACUGAGGAAAGAAACAAAUAUUUGUCUUUGAUCUGCACCCCCAGGUGACAGCAGUGUAGAUUUCCUGUAUUAUUUUGCCACGGUAACCAACGAGACACACCCAGGUCUGGCCAGAGUGGAGGGUAGUCCAGUAGCAGGUGUUCCUGCCUAUCUGGUGCUGGCUGUGACGGGCCUGGCUCCAAAUGAGGAGGCGUCUUUCAGUCAUGUAACGCUGCUCGGAGCCGACUAGGAGAGCCUCCAGCAGGUGAAGCUGAACUCCUCCUCCUCUUCAUCAUCAUCAUCCUACUCUGUGGAGGAGCUGGUGGGGCGGUUGGACUCUGUUCUCAGAGUCCCCUUCUGUGUUCGACUAACAGGCCGAGACAGCAGAGGAAACAAGCUGGAGAGGGUUUCCGCAGAGAUGGUUCAGCCAGCUCACGUUCAGAUACAGACAUGUCCAACAAAACACAAGCCAGCGGAGGUGGAGGAGAGAGGACACUGGGGCAGUAAGGUGGAGUUUCUCCUGGCUGUGGCGGGAAAUAUUGUCGGCCUGGGCAACGUGUGGAGGUUUCCUUACC